rnacentral:rRNA from 1 species
UACGGAGGGGGCGAGCGUUCUUCGGAAUUAUUGGGCGUAAAGGGCGCGUAGGCGGCCUGGUCAGUCGAAGGUGAAAUCCCCGAGCUCAACUUGGGAACUGCCUUCGAUACUGCCGGGCUUGAGUCCGGGAGGGGAGAGUGGAAUUCCCAGUGUAGCGGUGAAAUGCGUAGAUAUCAGGAGGAACACCAAUUGCGAAGGCAGCUCGCUGGGACGUUACUGACGCUGAGACGCGAAAGCGUGGGGAGCAAACAGG